rnacentral:rRNA from 1 species
AUGGCCAUGGCGGCGGGCGGGCCCAACGGCGGCGCGAAGGUGGUCAGCCUUCGCCUGCAGUACUACUGCGUGUUCGCGGCGGUGGGCGUGGCGGUCAUCGUGCUGUCGCUCACCUUCCUGUCGCCGUCCGCCAUGGGCGCCGUCCGCCAGAACCUCGGCACCGUCGUGGCCGUGGCCACGAAUUCCACCAGCGGCGACGAAGCGGCACGGGUGGUAGGAGGCGGGGAGGCGGUGGCCGCGGCCAAGGCGGAGCCGGAGAAGGAGAAGCCGAAGAAAGCGGAGCCGCCGGUGGUGCUGUUCAACUUCGGCGACUCCAACUCGGACACCGGCGGCGUGGCGGCGGCCGGGGGCAUCCACAUCAUGCCACCCGAGGGACGCACCUACUUCCGCCGCCCCACCGGCCGCCUCUCCGACGGCCGCGUCAUCAUCGACUUCAUCUGCGCGAGUCUGAAGACGCAUGAGCUGAAUCCGUACCUGAAGGCAGUGGGCUCCGACUACAGCAACGGUGUCAACUUCGCCAUGGCCGGCUCCACGGUGUCCCACGGCGUCUCCCCCUACUCCCUCAAUGUCCAGGUCGACCAGUUCGUCUACUUCAAGCGCAGAUCCCUGGAGCUCAUCGAGCUAGGACUGAAGGGCCCGGUGAGCAAGGAGGGCUUCGAGAACGCGCUCUACAUGAUGGACAUCGGCCACAACGACGUCGCCGGCGUGAUGCACACGCCGUCCGAUCAGUGGGACAAGAAGUUCAGACAGAUAGUCAGCGAGAUCGGCGACGCGAUCCGGAUCCUGUACGACAAUGGCGCGAGGAAGUUCUGGAUCCAUGGCACGGGCGCCCUGGGCUGCCUGCCGGCGCUGGUGGUGCAGGAGAAGGGUGGCGAGCACGACGCGCACGGCUGCCUCGCCAGCCACAACCGGGCGGCGCAGGCCUUCAACAAGAAGCUCAGCGACCUCUGCGACGAGGUGCGGCUGCGCCUCAAGGACGCCACCGUCGUCUACACCGACAUGUUCGCCAUCAAGUACGGCUUCGUCGCCAACCACACCAAAUACGGGAUUGAGUGGCCAUUGAUGGUGUGCUGCGGAAACGGCGGCCCGCCUUACAACUUCAUGCCGGGGAAGUUCGGCUGCGGCGAUCUCUGCGGGCCGGAGGAGAAGGUGCUGAGCUGGGACGGCGUGCACUUCACCGACUUCGGCAGCGGCCUUGCCGCCAAGCAUGCCAUGAGUGGCGAGUACUCCAAGCCCAGAGUAAAGCUGGCGAGCUUGCUCAAUGGUGGCUCCAAGAAGCCAUCAUCUGUGUCUUGA